UCUUACCAGGCCCCUUGUAAGCUAAAUUCCCCUUUGCCAGUACUUGUUAAUCUCCCCUGUUAUGGUUAGAUUGUGUUCCCCCAAAAGAUAUGUUAAUGCCCUUGCCCCCUGUACUCAUGAAUGUGAGUGACUCUGUUGGAAAUAAGAUCUCUGCAGAUGUAAUCAAGUUAAGAUGAGGUUGUACUGGAUUAGGGAUUCUUAAUUUGCAAGCAACAGAAACCAACUCUAGUUUAAUCAGGAAGGAAAUUGAUUUAAAGGAUGCUGGAUAAAUCGAGAAGAAAAUAUCUCAAAGGGUCAGAAAGCCGAGCCAAGAAUUUACACAGCCAGAAACAUCAAGAACACCAUGGACCUCAGAGCUUGUGUCCCGAAUGCCACCACCAAUGGGUUGGAAAAAUUGAUGCAGCCAGGAGCGAGAGGUGCUCCGAUGGCUUGAAUGAAAGUACUGUGGGAUCCCGUUACCAGAAAACAUCCAGAAAGAGUUCAGUGCUGAGCUUGUGACAGCAGAGGGAGAAGCAGAGGAGGAAGAGCCACAUGUGGCCAGUGUUUCCCAGUGCUUAACAACCUCUAUGGCCUUCCAUCAACUCACUUUUGAGCAAAAGGAUUUACCUUCAUGGGCCCAUCUUCUGUGCCUCGUUUUCCCUUUUGAGUUUAUUACCUGGAUAUAAUUCCGUGUGUGUCUGAGCCCUAAUUAUUUUCAAUAAUCA